CAGUCCCCGCUCAUCCUGGAUGAGAACCAGGCCAGGGCUCUGCGGCCCUGACUCACUCCCAGAACUGCCAACCCCGGGGACUGAGGGGCGGGGACACGGGUUACUCCACCAGGGUAGGGCCUCUCCCAUCACUGGUUCCAUGGACCAAAUGACCCCAGGCCUGCUGGGGACCAAUGAGGGCCCUUUGUGCUCCAGGCUGUGGGGUCCGGGCGGGAGGCAGAGGUGUGGCGUCCUCGGUGAGGGCAGCGGCCCCCACCUCUGCUCAGCAGAGACCUGAGAACCCCUGGCACCUCGAGCCCUACACGCGAUCUGCUCGCUGAGGAGGGCCAACCACUGGAGCUCUUCUGCAGAGGCACAGAUGAGGCAACGAGAGGGAGAGGGACCGUGUCCCUCCCUCACAGGGCACUGUGUCUAAGGUGCUGCCCCCCCCAGCAGCUGAACCAUACCUGGGGUGAGGCUGGCGAGGGGUCGUAGCCCCCCAACUUCCCACCACCCCCAACCCACACGCAGCCUGCACUCCUAAAGCUGGCUCCUCUCAGAUUCCCUCGGACGCCUCGGCUCCUCUGCCACGCCUGUGGCUGGUUCAGGCUGCUGAAUCUUAUGUCCCAAGAACCAGUGGGACCAAUGCCAGUGGCCUCGCGUGGUGGUCCAUCAAGCUGAAGUAGAACCGGCCGGGGAGCUGCAGCCCUCGACCAGCCCGCCAGUAGCUUCCAACAGGACCCUUCUCUCAGCUGCUCCACGGGCAAGCAGAGGGUCCGGACAGAGGAGAGUUGGCCAAGGUGGACGUCCAAGGCCGGGGUCCUGCCCACGGCUGCUGCUCCUCACCUCUACAGCUGAACAACCGUGCAACCUCUUUUCUACACUAGGUGGGAAAACUACAGAAACCGCUUGCUUUGAAGGGCACGGUUUAUUUUUAAAUAAUUACAUCUUUACACCAAGGUUCAAACAUAGCACAGAGAGGGCCCGGGUGCCCUUCACCGCCUCCCGUGAGAUUUGCAGAUUACAGAUCGUGGGGCGCCACCAAACCAGGAACGGGGGGAGGGAGGACCCCAAAGUGCUUUCUCACAGGUGUGUGCUCCUGUGCCCACCGUGCACUCAAGAGGCAGGACGGGCCCCUCCGAACAAAGCUGUCCCUCAGGUUACCUUCAGAGUCUCUUGAUCACGACAGCACUGACUUUUGAAAGACUGCCAAACUCUUUGAUUUCCCCCAGAAGGCCGAUGGGGGGUGGGGAGGAGGACGGAUUUCCAAUAAACUCAAGAUGCCCUGAUUGAUCCCUGGCCUG
rnacentral:lncRNA from 1 species